rnacentral:rRNA from 1 species
GAUGAACGCUGGCGGCGUGCCUAAUACAUGCCAGUCGAGCGAACAGACGAGGAGCUUGCACCUCUGACGUUAGCGGCGGACGGGUGAGUAACACGUGGAUAACCUACCUAUAAGACUGGGAUAACUUCGGGAAACCGGAGCUAAUACCGGAUAAUAUAUUGAACCGCAUGGUUCAAUAGUGAAAGACGGUUUUGCUGUCACUUAUAGAUGGAUCCGCGCCGCAUUAGCUAGUUGGUAAGGUAACGGCUUACCAAGGCAACGAUGCGUAGCCGACCUGAGAGGGUGAUCGGCCACACUGGAACUGAGACACGGUCCAGACUCCUACGGGAGGCAGCAGUAGGGAAUCUUCCGCAAUGGGCGAAAGCCUGACGGAGCAACGCCGCGUGAGUGAUGAAGGUCUUCGGAUCGUAAAACUCUGUUAUUAGGGAAGAACAAAUGUGUAAGUAACUAUGCACGUCUUGACGGUACCUAAUCAGAAAGCCACGGCUAACUACGUG